rnacentral:rRNA from 2 species
AAACUUUCAACAACGGAUCUCUUGGUUCUGGCAUCGAUGAAGAACGCAGCGAAAUGCGAUAAGUAAUGUGAAUUGCAGAAUUUAGUGAAUCAUCGAAUCUUUGAACGCACAUUGCGCCCUUUGGUAUUCCGAGGGGCAUGCCUGUUCGAGCGUC